rnacentral:misc_RNA from 1 species
GAUGAAGAACGCAGCGAAAUGCGAUACGCAAUGUGAAUUGCAGAAUUCAGUGAAUCAUCGAGUCUUUGAACGCACAUUGCGCCCCCUGGUAUUCCGGGGGGCAUGCCUGUCCGAGCGUCAUUGCUGCCCUCAAGCACGGCUUGUGUGUUGGGCCUCCGUCCUCCUCCCGGGGGACGGGCCCGAAAGGCAGCGGCGGCACCGCGUCCGGUCCUCGAGCGUAUGGGGCUUCGUCACCCGCUCUUGUAGGCCCGGCCGGCGCUUGCCGACACAUCAAUCUUUUUUCCAGGUUGACCUCGGAUCAGGUAGGGAUACCCGCUGAACUUAAGCAUAUCAAUAAGGGAGGA